rnacentral:rRNA from 1 species
CAGCAGCCGCGGGAAUACGUAGGGUGCGAGCGUUAAUCGGAAUUACUGGGCGUAAAGCGUGCGCAGGCGGUUGUGUAAGACAGGUGUGAAAUCCCCGGGCUUAACCUGGGAACUGCGCUUGUGACUGCACAGCUAGAGUAUGGCAGAGGAGGGUGGAGUUCCACGUGUAGCAGUGAAAUGCGUAGAGAUGUGGAGGAACACCGAUGGCGAAGGCAGCCCCCUGGGCCAAUACUGACGCUCAUGCACGAAAGCGUGGGGAGCAAACAGGAUUAGAUACCCCCGGUAGUCCCUGUCUCUUAUU